CACAUAUCAAAAAUCAACAUAGCUUCUUUAUACAAAAGAACAUAGUACUAUUAUAUAACAUUAAAAAUCUAGAACAUCCACACGUAUUAUAGUAUUCAAUAAGAUAAAUAAGAAUCGACUAUGUAUGAAUAAUAUAUCUUUCAGCCAUACUUUAUAUUUACUUUGAUGGUCAUAUAUUGUUGCGAGACUAAUAUAAAGUUCUUCCACACGUAGCUGUCCCAUUUGAGUACAGGAACAAUAUUCCAACGUUUCUUCAGCUCUAUAGUUGUUACAAUUCCAUACAUAAUCGCUAUUCCAAUAAAACAAACUAAAAAAAGUUAAUUACCAACAGACAAACAAAAAAUAAAAAAUAAAAAUACAAAAACUAAAUGUUAAAUCUCUGAGACUCGACACAGGGGUACAAACAACACAAUCCUUGUUAACCUAUAGUGUAUCUGUUUGUCCAGGGUAACCAUGAUUUGACCGAGUUCCUGUUACUGAAAAAGGGAUUAGAUUCCAUCCUAUAUUGAUAUUCUAUUUGUUCCAUAAUAUUAUGCCAAGAUAAAGGGAUGGAGGAUUUCCAUGCCCUAGCUAUGCAGAUUUUAAUUGCAAAAAAGAUAUGGGUCAGAAGAUAUUUUUGGUAAUUAUCUUGUGAGGGAAAACCAAUAUUAAAAAGAAAAAGUUGGGUACUGAUUUCUUUUAUUUCCUUAAAAAUAGAAUUAACAAGACCAAUCAUUUGAUUCUUAACAUUAUUAAGCCCCUGACAUUCCCACCAUAUGUGAUACAUAGUGCCCUCCUCAAUUCCACAUCUCCAACAGAUCCUAAAGUAGGCAGAUGAUAUUUUGUAAAGUUUAACCGGUACCAUAUACCAUCUAUAUAUUAUUUUUAAGUGAGUUUCGUAGAGAGACACACUAUGUAGACAACGUUUUACUAGGAGUGUAGUUUUGGUCCAUUCCACAAGUGGAAAGGAUUCCCCAAUAUCGUGUUCCCAUUUAAUAAAGGAGGAAGCAUGGGAGUCUUGUACCAUUGAAUCUAGUAGUUUAGUAAAUCUAGAAAUCCCUCCCUUCUUUUUAUAUAGCUCUAUAAGGUGGUUAACAUUAUAUUCCAUAAGUACAGUUCUAGAUAGAAAAUUUUUAAUCCUUAAAUGUUGGAAAAGAUCUCUGGAGGGAAGAUUAAAUUUAACUUGCAGUUGUGUAAAUGGAAUGGGUUUAGACCCAACCCAUAAAUCAGAAAUCUUCAGUAUGCCCAGAUGUAUUCAGGGUUGGACAUUUAUUUAAUCCAAACGUGAUUUAAAACCACCAAUGGAACAUAAUAUAGUAAUUUGGCCUCCUGUUUUAAUUUUCUGUUUAGGAUUUUAGCGGUAUUAAUCAUAUCUAUUAUUAUUUUAUUAGAAAAAUACUUGAUUUCUAUUUCUCCUAAUUUCAGGAUACCCAACCAAAAUAGAACAGGCAAUUUAUGUCUGGUAAAAAGAAAAGGGGAAGAGUCUGCGCUAACUCAGUGAAGCAGCAACCCUAAUAAAGGAAUCCCUCACGAACCCUUAUUAGAAACAGAGAAAUGCAAAAAAGGGAAUUAAGGG
rnacentral:lncRNA from 1 species